GGCAUUAGCUCAGUUGGUAGAGCGCUAGGUUCGCAAUCUAGAGGUCGGGAGUUCGACCCUCCUAUG
rnacentral:tRNA from 1 species